UUGAAUCAGAAAUUAGAAGAAAGAAAUUAAAAGUUGCUUGUAGUGAAAGCAUUACGGAACGUAUUUUUCGAUUGGUUAAUAGAUGGUUAGUUUGCCAUUUGGUUGCUGAUGCAGUUCGGAAAGGCUAAUCAAUCUCUUUAGUAUCAUAGAACCGGAUUUCUUUGCUAAAGAACUGUUUCAAUUGUUGUUUUCAUUUUCUUGGUUGGGUUUUUUUUGGUCCUUGGAUUUCCCUUUUGUCUCUUUCCGGUUGUCUCCGGUGAGUUUUCCUGUUUUUCCAUCGCCUCCUGCGAAUGGUUCCUGUUCUGAUGGAGUGAGGAGUUCUUUUCCAUACGGAUGUUCCGGAAUCGAAUCGUUUUGCAUCUAAGGAGCUAAUUUUAUUGGUGAAACUGGCGAGCCACCCUGGUUUUACAGAUGUAUUGAGCAUUAUCUACAAAACAACGAAGUGAACUUUAAUGAGGAUUGUGUGAAGCUGUAUCCAGAAUCCCACUUUUAUACCAUUGACUGUGGGCCACGCCCCUCCAGCCUGGAUACACUAGGCUGAGUGCACCAGGUGAAGGUAAUUUACCAAUCAAUUUGGGGUUGGAGUCACACACACACACACACAUCAUUUAUACAGAGCAGCAGUGGGAGCAAGCAGCAUGAGAGGUGAAUGAGAUCUGGAAGUUUAGACUGAAACACCAAGACUGUUUGUGCAAAACAAAGCUUUCAAGGAAG